GGUCUGUUGACCCCUUUAGGAGUUAUUGCCCUUUAUAAUCAAUUUUUAACCAUUUUUCGUAAAUCUUAGUCAUCUUUUACAAAAAUCUUCUCCUCUGAAACUACUGGGCCAAUUUUUACCAAACUUGGCCACAAUCAUUAUUAGGGUAUCUAGUUAAAAAAUUGUGUCCGAUGACCUGGCUGACCAACCAAGAUGGCUGCAAUGGCUAAAAAUAGAACAUAGGGGUAAAAUGCAGUUUUUGGCUUAUAACUCAAAAACCAAAGCAUUUAGAGCAAAUCUGACAUCGGGUAAAAUUGUUUAUCAGGUCAAGAUCUAUCUGCCCUGAAAUUUUGAGAUGAAUUGGACAACCUGUUGAUAGGU
rnacentral:lncRNA from 1 species